AUGUUACAACAUGGAAAAGAGAAGAAUAUAUUAAGAGCAGUCUUCAGACGGAUGGAUUUUAGAACAAAAUUAGCUGUCAUUUUAGUCGACUCGGAAUUCAAUGAUGACGAUAUAAGAAACCGAGACUUGGAUGAUGAUGAAACCAACACGGAUCCCAUUGAUUGUAUGAUUGUCGAAAGACCUCCUAACAAACCUAAAGCAUCCAACUCAUCGUCACAAGUUGAGCUCAUCUCGCAAUCAUUUAUCCUUUCGCCAAUUGUCACUCCAACAAACGACGACUUAAUAGAUGAACUUUGCUUGUUCAUCACCAUGGUUGAUGAUGUCCCGAUGCUAGAGAGCGAAUGGGUGAAAAGCUCUCAGCCUUACCCUAUUAGUUUAAACUUGAGACAAUUAAAGUUAAAAAAUGAUGAGUACAUGGAUGCUGAUUGUUUUAACAUGGUUGUGAGGAUACUAGCGUGCCACGACGUCCAGCUUGCUAGAGACGUCCCAGUACACUAUAUGGAUCUACGAUUCUGUGUA
rnacentral:rRNA from 1 species